GACGAACGCUGGCGGCGUGCUUAACACAUGCAAGUCGAACGGAAAGGCCCUGCUUUUGUGGGGUGCUCGAGUGGCGAACGGGUGAGUAACACGUGAGUAACCUGCCCUUGACUUUGGGAUAACUUCAGGAAACUGGGGCUAAUACCGGAUAGGAGCUCCUGCUGCAUGGUGGGGGUUGGAAAGUUUCGGCGGUUGGGGAUGGACUCGCGGCUUAUCAGCUUGUUGGUGGGGUAGUGGCUUACCAAGGCUUUGACGGGUAGCCGGCCUGAGAGGGCGACCGGCCACAUUGGGACUGAGAUACGGCCCAGACGCCUACGGGAGGCAGCAGUGGGGAAUAUUGCACAAUGGGCGGAAGCCUGAUGCAGCAACGCCGCGUGCGGGAUGACGGCCUUCGGGUUGUAAACCGCUUUCGCCUGUGACGAAGCGUGAGUGACGGUAAUGGGUAAGGAAGCACCAGCUAACUACGUG
rnacentral:rRNA from 1 species